AACGAACGCUGGCGGCAGGCCUAACACAUGCAAGUCGAACGUGAAGCCACCUUCGGGUGGUGGAAAGUGGCAGACGGGUGAGUAACGCGUGGGAACGUGCCUUUCGGUUCGGAAUAACCCAGGGAAACUUGGGCUAAUACCGGAUACGCCCUUCGGGGGAAAGAUUCAUCGCCGAAAGAUCGGCCCGCGUCGGAUUAGCUAGUUGGUAGGGUAAUGGCCUACCAAGGCGACGAUCCGUAGCUGGUCUGAGAGGAUGACCAGCCACACUGGGACUGAGACACGGCCCAGACUCCUACGGGAGGCAGCAGUGGGGAAUAUUGGACAAUGGGCGAAAGCCUGAUCCAGCCAUGCCGCGUGGGUGAAGAAGGCCCUAGGGUUGUAAACCCCUUUCAGCGGGGAAGAUAAUGACGGUACCCGCAGAAGAAGCCCCGGCUAACUCCGUGCCAGCCGCCGCGGUAAGAC
rnacentral:rRNA from 1 species